rnacentral:lncRNA from 1 species
UAGGAGGGCUUUUCAAUUUUUUUCUACACCAAAUUUCCAAAAUCUUCUCUCCCCCUAUCACUAGACCCAAAAUCUCCCCCAAAUCAAUCAAUCUCUGAGGUGGAAACAAAAACAAAGCACAGCGAGAAAUCGCGAUUAGUGACAAAAAUCCCCUCUAAAUCGUUAAAUUGUUGUAGAACCAACAGGGUAUUCCACUUUCUCUAUAUAUUGAAAUUUUAAUGUGUAUAUACCGAAUACAUGUCUUAAUUUCAUUGUAAUUGGCUGUUAGUGGUUUGAUUUGCUGAAUUUCGUACUCGUGGUUUCUCCCUCUUCUAUAAUCACGGUGUCCCUCUGCUACAACUUCUUCCCAUGAGAUUCUCGAUUCUUAUCUAUUUGUAAGUAGUCUAAAUCUAUUCUCAAAUUUGGAUUCUUAGGUUGUUUAACAUACCUUUUCGUUAUGAAUAUUUUUUGUAUUAGAAGUGCUUAGCUAGAAUUCGUUUGAAUUAUAUCUCAAGAUUGAUGACUUUAAUGGACUUUUGUGGUAGUAGUUUUAUGCAAUGCCAGUCGUUUUAAGCAAUUUCUGUUUGAUUGGGGGUUCAUGUAUACAUACCCCAUUAGGAUGGAUAUAAACUGUUAUGCAUUCAAGGUGUUUGAGGAAAUGUCACUAACUGAAAGACAAAAAAUUAUUCGAGCUGGGCCUUAUUUAUGUGGAGGUUAGUCAGAAUUAUCAGGUUUAAAAUCUUCAGAACCUAUUAGUUUGACCUUUUUCUGAACUAUCAGACAUUAAUUAUUAUAUAAUUUGUUGGCAUUUCAAGCUUCCUGUCUGCGGUAAUAUUUUCCUUUACACAUGGUGCUUAUUAAAUUGAGAAUUUUUAAUAUGCACUAUCAUGUGAACUUGAUAUGGUAGUCUUUUCAGUUUAAUGAAUUUACUAUUUUGCUUAUAGGACAAUAUAUAUAUAUAUAUAAUAACAUAUUUAUCUAUAUGAAAUGUUUGAGGUUUGUUAACGAACUUUCUCGGUUUAUAUCCGUGGACCUCUUUUAUCUUCAUGAACACAGUACAAGUAAAAAUGAAUUGUGAAACUAGCUUAGGGGAACCCAACUAGUUCAAUUUGUGUGAUUGCAGUUGCAGGAAAGGUCACUGUUGCCUAAUGAGACAUGGCAUCUGUUGCAUAUUGCUCAAGGAAUGACUUGUACUAUGAUAAGUAAAUCCUCUCCUCUAUAAUGUUUUUCUGAUUUAUUUUUCUUUUGUUUUAUUUAAUGCAUCACACAUUAAUAGGUAUUAUGUUUAACAGAAUUUUUUGGCUCACAAGUGAAGAAUUAUUUGUCAAAUCUUAUUCCUUCCAUCAUCCAUGAGUAGUUGCAAUUAUAAGUUAACUUUGUCUGUGAUCUUUGUGGAAUCUUAUUGCUCUAUAUUUGGAAUUUUAACUCGGUGAUUUUAACUUUUUCCUGAGUUGGUAUCUAAAAGUAUUGUAUUAUACAUUAAAUACUUACUAGAAUUGUGAGCAUUCUACUUUGACAUUCAAGUACAAGAUGAGGAAAGAACUUCAAACAGUUUAGCUAUGAUGCAGGCUCCUUCUUCCAGCAUCACUUAUUGUAAUCAAUGAUAUUGUUGCUUAUUUCUUUGGACUUAGUUAACAGUUGAAUGUAUUCAACAUUCAAUAAAUAUAUCAGCGACAAAGUUCAUUGUCAUCAAGAAACUAAUAAGAUGCUCACCACAAACGCAGAGAUUAUAGUUGUGACAGAUGCUCCAAUGAAGCAUUCCCAUGUCUUCUUUGGAGAUAACUUGAUUAAAGGAGUUUUUAUAGGCAAACAUAUUUCCUUAGUUUCCCUCUGACCAAUCCUAGUCCAGACUGCUGCUUGACUAAUCCAUUUUUGUAUUAUCUUUCCUCAAUGGAUUCUAUUAUCCAGGUGCCAUACAUUGACUAGUCAUGACUUGACAUCUUUUUUUCUUUAGCACAUUUCAUUCAAAAUUACUUAUUUUUCAUUGUAUAGAUAUACUUUUAUAAGUGCACAUGCCAAUGAGAUUAUGGCUUCAUGCUCUGUUCAAAUCUUCAAAAAAACUAGGUAAGAAAAAAAUUAUGGUUUAUCUUUAAUACACUCAAUUGUCUUAUGGUUAAUUGUGUAGAUAGUUUUUCCUCUUUAGUCCCUCACACUGUAGAAUCAAAUUUGUCUGCAAGGUAGCAGCCCGAUCUUAUGCUAAAUGGGAAGGGGAUGGUAAGAUCUCCACAAGUGGAAUGAUAGCCGGGCUUGGCCAGAUCAGAUGGUGUAACAGAAUGAGCUGCUACUUCUGCUCUUGCUGCUAAAAGUAGUACUGCAAUCAAGGUGAGUAAUUGAAAAGGCAUCUCAGCCCAUAAUUUUUUUCUUUUCUAUUGAAACUUUUUGUGUGUGUGUGUUUGUCAAAUACCCUGAACUGGUACUCAAUAGGAGUUGGUUUCCUUUUGUAAAGCCUCUCAAGUCUUCUUUGUCAAUGAAGGAUAUAAGUAUACAUCAUAAGAUUAAAUGACGAGCUUAAUUAAGACCUAUUUGUUUCAUCUUAAAAUAAUGUCAGAAAAUGUGAUUUUCGUUGAAGUACUUUAGCGAUUUCAAAAUUAUUAGAGAUACAUAUCUGCUUUUAAAUUAUAAAACAAUAUGAAGUUUUGAAUAUGCUAUUAUACUUUUUUCUUAGUUGAUUGAGUAAUUAUAGAUGGAGUAAUAAUCAGGAAAUAAUAAGCUCAAAGCCUGAAAGCCUGAAUAAUAGGUUAAUAACAUUAUAUAUAUUAAAUCAAAUAAGUAAAUUUUCACCAGUAAAUCAAGUAAGUAAGACCUCUCAUGAAUAUUGGUGAAAUGCAUAAACUAUAGAUUUUGCAGUUAUAUGCUUCUUGAAACUCUAAUAUGUAUUUCCAAAAUAUUUGCCACUAAAGCUGCUCUUGUACAUUUGCAUUCAUGUAUCAGAUACAGACUUGCUUGGUUUGUGUGAUACAUGUACAUUCAGAUAUUUAUUCUUCUCGACAUCACAAUUUUGAAAUUCUUUUUUCCUUAUUUGAGACUAAAAAAACUUAUUUUUUGUUGGUAGUAUUUCAAGAUGGAUCCGGUAAAUUAUGAUGGCUAUGGGGGUGUUGAACAUGUACAGUACUAUUUUUAGGUACAUUCUAGUGAACUUCGUAUUUAUGGCUAGGGGUGGUUUCUAUUGCACUUUUUUUUAAUCAACUUUGCAUUCAUUCAAAGCUCUGUAAGGACCACUUACGAAGAAAAAAACAAACGAAAAAAAUAACAGAUGAUAGGUAUAAAAAACAUAAAUUACAUGCCCACUCUUUAAUAUUUUAAUUUGGCUCUAGUUCAUCAAAGGAUGAUUAGAUACGGUUACACAAUAUCCCAUUGAAUGCACAAUUAUUAUCAGAAUAAUAUACUACAUUCAAAAUUUGACAUUUAAUAUAUUUGGACUGAGGAAUGAGGAUCAUAAAGUGGCUAUUUCUAAACUAAAUUUGUUCAUCUCGAAAUCUAAUAUUUGUGCAUCUAUUUUACACGGAGUAUGAUAUAAAACUCUCCUGCCCAUCUAUAUUAAUCUCUGUGUGUGUGUGUCUAUCUUUAUUAUAUAUCUAACUACUGUCUAUGUUGUCUUACAACAACAAUGGAAGGGGAAACAAAAUAAGGUAAGACUCCCACUAAGAAAUACAGCAAGAAGUGUGGAUGACAAUGCACCAUCACCCAUACUAUUUAAAUGAGUCUAUGAUAUGGAUGACUAUGGACAUAAUUACUUAGUUCACAGAGAAUAGUUGUUGAAGUGUCCACUAUCGUAACUUGCCACAAAACUUGUUACGUUUCUUUUAAACAGAGUUAUAGAAGUAUUAUUUUGGUGAAAUCAUACCGUUUUAUAUCUUAUUGCCAAAAUUCCUAUCAUUAUAUAAAAAUAUGGAAAGCUCUUAUAUUUUGUUGAAGUAUAUAUUUAGUUGGUGGUAAGAUGUGAUUAAUACCCUUGUAUGCUUGUAUAUACUCCAUCAUUCACUAAUUUUGGGAAUUAUUUAUUCUUUUCCCCAACAAUUAAUGAUUCUCAUAAAACAUAGUUACUAAUAAUUCAUCACAUAACCAAGCUAGUUCUUCCAUGGUUACCAAUUGUUAAGCUCACUGUGAAAAUGUACCAUGUCACUAAGAAUAUUUUGAGUUACUUUAACCUAUUUCAGAGCAUUAUUAUGGUAUACAAUCACAAGUCCCGAUCCAUUUUUCAUUGUUAUGAAAUUACAAUGGCUAUAGCAUUGGCUAUAAAAACCUUUAAAACAUGACGAAAACUAUGGCUUCUACCUGCUUGAAGAAUGCUUGAAUUUGUUUGAAAAUGCCAUCUAUCUGUUUCUCUUUUAAGUUUCACUGUCAAUAUUCUUUUAUGUCUUUGCUGAUGCCAAGCCUCGUUUAAUAACAAGUGAAACAUAGCCAAAUGUUUGUUUUAAGAAACCAAUUUCAAGGUUAUGUAUAUUGUUCGUAUUAGUUUCGAGUUAGAAAUGUUUUUUAAUCAGCAAUUCUUGCAGUGCAAAUCUAGUGGUGACUUUAAUCUUUGUACACCAUUAAUGCUGAACAGGAUGUGUGUGAGUUCCAAUACAUAAAACUCAUUGAUCUAUGAUAAAGACUACUAAUACAAAUAAGGUGUUGUAACUUGGAAACUUUCUAUUAAUAUUCAACACAAGAACUUUAAUAUUUAAGAGAAUGUGGAAAUAAAAUAACAUAAGUCUAAAACUCAUUGAGUUCUUACUGACUAAAUAUUUUGGAAUUCCCUUUCAUAUUUGAGGUCAACAUAUAAUAAUAAUCUACAAGUCUUGUAACAAAAAAUAUGUUUACCACUAUGCUUACUGAAAUUAAUUCAUGAAAUGGCUUAUUAAGAUUUCAAUUUUGUCUUGUAACAGAGCAAUCUUAUAGUCGCACUGAAGGUUCUUUUUCUAUUUGGAUUUAUAGCAAAUGAUAUUGUGAUUGCCUAUUUGUCUUUUUCUGCUUAUGAGCAAUACGGUGUACAUUAGUACCACGUAGCAACUCUAUUGUCUUUGUGUAUUGAUUUUGGCACUAAGUGCCUCUGGUGACCUAUUUGCUUCAUUUUCCUGACUUGCUAUUAUUUUUAAAUAUGUGCAGGAAGACUGUUUUUACGACCUGCCUUACAAUACUGGGUAUCAAAUUUCCGUGCUACAUUUACGAAAGACAAGGGACGAAAUUAUGAAGUGUACUCUCUCUAUAUAUGUAGGUAUAUACUUUGAUUGAAAAACUGUGGCAGCUUUAGAUGGUUAAUUGUAAAGAUAAUGAAUGAUUAUGUAGUGGAUGCUUUUAUUAAGUUAAUAAUAUUUUAGUUUUUUUUUUAA